GAUGAACGCUGGCGGCGUGCCUAAUACAUGCAAGUCGAGCGAACAGACGAGGAGCUUGCUCCUCUGACGUUAGCGGCGGACGGGUGAGUAACACGUGGAUAACCUACCUAUAAGACUGGGAUAACUUCGGGAAACCGGAGCUAAUACCGGAUAAUAUAUUGAACCGCAUGGUUCAAUAGUGAAAGACGGUUUUGCUGUCACUUAUAGAUGGAUCCGCGCCGCAUUAGCUAGUUGGUAAGGUAACGGCUUACCAAGGCGACGAUGCGUAGCCGACCUGAGAGGGUGAUCGGCCACAAGGGAACUGAGGCACGGUCCAGACUCCUACGGGAGGCAGCAGUAGGGAAUCUUCCGCAAUGGGCGAAAGCCUGACGGAGCAACGCCGCGUGAGUGAUGAAGGUCUUCGGAUCGUAAAACUCUGUUAUUAGGGAAGAACAAAUGUGUAAGUAACUAUGCACGUCUUGACGGUACCUAAUCAGAAAGCCACGGCUAACUACGUG
rnacentral:rRNA from 1 species